UACGUAGGGUGCGAGCGUUAAUCGGAAUUACUGGGCGUAAAGCGUGCGCAGGCGGCGCGUUAAGACAGGUGUGAAAGCCCCGAGCUUAACUUGGGAAUUGCGCUUGUGACUGGCGUGCUGGAGUGUGGCAGAGGGAGGUGGAAUUCCACGUGUAGCAGUGAAAUGCGUAGAGAUGUGGAGGAACACCGAUGGCGAAGGCAGCCUCCUGGGCCAGCACUGACGCUCAUGCACGAAGCGUGGGAGCAAACAGG
rnacentral:rRNA from 1 species